AGGCGUAAGAGAAGCGAACGAUCAUGGUACAUAGGCGUGUCCCAGACCGCGUGGAGACUAGAACUUUUUUUUUUAUGCUUUAAAUGGCACACAGGUUGAGUGUUGGUAGGCCACACGGCUAUGUUGCCCAUAUGGCCAUGUAGCCUAGUUCAAGGCUAGAGUUUCCUUCUUUUUGUCUUCUAUUUUUCAUUCUUAUUCUUAUAUUAUUAUUAUUUUUUCUUCUUUGUCCUUCACAAGCCACUGCUUACCAACCCCCCCAAAAAACCCUAGCUGCAGACCACUUCAUCGUCGCGCCAUACCAGCCACCGGUCUCUUACCCUUUUGGAUCUCUUCCCUCGUCGCUCUAUUUCUUUCGCUGCCCAAAACCCCCUUUUUUCGUCCACUGCUCUGCGUGAUCCCCUCCCUCCAUCUUCCUUAAUUGACUUCCCUUUCCGUCGAUCUCCCUCUCCCCCUCGCUGGUUUGUGCACGCCACCUUCGUUCAAAGCCCACGCCUAGGCAUUCUUAUCCCUUUUCCGAUCUCAACCACCAUACACACACACACACACCAUUCCCUUCUCCGUUGCUUUUUGACCACAUCCCCGUCUCCUCUACCACUUUCCACCAUCAUUCAUACCCCAGAUCUACCUUCAAUCACCACUGUUCAUGCCGACCACCGCACUUCAAUGCCGUUUGUCCCUAUCGCCGCUUAUGCCACCGUGGUAAACAACCCAAGUGUAUAUUCUAACAGGUGUCGCUAUUUCACCGUUUCUGGAUAUUGUACAUUCGAAUACUGUCAAUACUGAAUUUGUUUUUUUAUAGGAUAGGUGGCAAUGUUAUUACUUACUUGUCCUGCUGGAAUUUUCUACAUAUUUUUUGUUCCCUUGCCUUGCGAACCUAUCUCGUUUCUCCCCCCUGUCACUGAGUCACCUUAAGGCUGCUUCUGUUGUUACUCUUGAGGAUCUUUCUGAACGGUUUAAUCGUUUCUAGCAGCAAUGCUUUGAUUGGUUAGAUAGCAUUGACUGGGCUUUGCAUUAGAUUCGCCUGCACCUCCAUAUCUCUCAUCCUGAUCAUGCGCCUCGCGACCCCGACACCUCUCACAACGCCGAUCACUUACCUGAUUUCAUUUUAUCGACUUUAGUUAUUUUUAUUUUCGGUUCUACUUUUAUUUAUUUUAUUUGUGAGACUUUUAUUUUAUUUUUAUUAUGAACUUUUAUUUUAUUUUUAUUAUUUUGAUCGUUGUUUUUGUUUGAGUUGGUAA